GUAGGAUUAAUAUUAUACUAUCAAUACAUAUGUGAUCUAGGUAUUUUAUGAGAGAGCUUAUUAUUACUGACAUUGAUUUUGAGAAUUAAUAGAAAUUUUAAGUUGUUUCUCACCCCCUUUUAGUGUUCUUUGUGGUUCUACAUCACUUGGACUAUAAUAUAUCCCUCAAUAACUCUUUUGAUUUAACCCAACUUUGGUUUCAUGUAAUUAUGCAAAUCAGGAUUCACACAUGCUAUAAGAUAUGAUACUCAAAUAUACACAAUUAAUUAAUUACUAAAGCAAGAAGAUAAGGAUCCAGGGCAGGUAUUAGUGAAUUCUUUUGUCAACUCUACUGGUCCUUACUCCAUACCAGGCAGCAACUACCCCUCUAUACAUGUCUAUCUCUAUCCAAUUUAUAUGCUAAAUUGCUAAUUGAAAAUUCCCUCUUCAUACAAUAGCCACUAUAGGACUUUCCUCAAUACUCCAAGAAAAUGGCUCAUUUUGGGAUUUUAGAAUUUUGAAUUUGUACUUGAUCUGACACAACUGAUGCCAAAACCAAAUAAAAGAGAAGGCUUAACAUUUGGCAGGUAUAAAAGUAUGAGACUAACAACGUAAAAACUUCAUCUGCUUUAGAAAGCCAUAAAAUGUCAGAAGAAAACAUCUAACAACACUAGGAACAUUUUCAUGAAUGCUUCUUUCUGCACAUGGGUCAUUCAAAGAAAUUUAGAAGAAUCCAUACCUUAAAACAUUUGUAAUAGUUUC
rnacentral:misc_RNA from 1 species